UGGCUUUGACUCUGGAACCUCAAAAAAUUAGGUUCCGUGACCUGAUUUGGCAGCUUUUAACAAGGGUUCUUUUGCUUUAUGAUGAAAAUCGGUUGUCUUGAUUUUCUUCUAUAUUCUGUUUGAAAAACCAAAUCAUCUUCAUGAAGGCACUACUUGUAAAAAAAGGAGCAAGGAUCUGAAAAUGGAGGGAUUCAUUCCAUGUUGAUCGAGUGAGAGAGAUAUUCCACUAGAAGUUUCUGGUCAAGUGCAGGAUCUUUGCUGCAUGUUAACUUUGCUGCAUAGAAGUUGCAUUAUGCAUUUACGUCAUAGAAGUAAUAAAUGUCUGCAACUUUUCAAUUGCCUAGACCAUGAAAAUGUUUACAAUUAUCCAUACAUUCUCCUUGGUAUCAAGACUUCAAUGAUGCAAAGAAGCUCCAUGAAGUUCUCUUUUGUUGUUACCUGCAUUUAAGAUUUAUACAUAUGCAUUGUUUCCUUAAAGAAUUAAUUUGUUUAUAAAGCACUCACUUUUUCUAUAAUGCAGCAAAGUAUAUAAUACUGAGAGCUAAAAAAAUGAUUUUUCCUUGGUUAGAAAUGUUUUACGAUUUGGCUUUACGUUAUCGCUCACUUAUACAACCUACAGAUGCUAUGCUGUGAACUUGUCUAAUAUAGAAUGUACCCAUUGCAUAGUGGUUUAGGACCAUGGACUGCAUAAUGUGUGGCAUGGUAACUGGUUCGGUUUAUUGUAGUGCUGUAUGCAGUCUGCACAUCAGUAGAUAUGAUUGUUACUGUAUAAAUCAUGUCAUGCGCACAUGAAGACAUGAUUCAGGUUGUGUGUAUGAUUUACAGUUCAUCAUUUAUAAUUCUAUAAUCUUUCUGGCAGAUCCAACGAAAUUUACAGUUACGAAUAGAAGAACAGGGGAGGCACCUUCAAAUGAUGUUUGAGAAACAAUGCAAAUCAGGUAUUGACGUUGACAAGUUGAAGGCAGCUUCAUCUGCUUUGGAAAAUCCCUCUACUCUGUCCUCAGAUGCAAUCCAGGACUCCCCUGCCAAAAAUGAUUUGGAAACCGCCCAGGUAGACUGUGGCAAGACACCAACUGACACAAUUUAUGCCAACCCUGCACUAGAAGGAGGAUCACAGGAUCUGAAUAGAAAGCACAAGGUAUCGCCAACUGAAACUCCUGAAAAUU
rnacentral:lncRNA from 1 species